rnacentral:tRNA from 1 species
GGGUGGUUGGUUUUGUAGGGUGUUGAUUUGUAAAUAUAUACUUAUCCCUUACAAGGCGUAGGUCAGCGGUUCGACCCCGUUAGCACCCACCA